UACCUCAUGGAUUUUGGACAGGUGUUAGACAUCAUCACUACCUAUUCAUCCUUUGUAAUUAAGAAUUUUGGCCAGCAAUAAUCUUUUUCUAAUAAGUUUCCAUCUGACUCCAAAAUAUGCCGUAUUUUUGGACUAGGAAAAAUUAAAUCGUCCAAUAUGAGCAAAAUUUACUCGAGCCCGGAGAAUUCGAUCAUAUCCAAGGAUGAAAAUCAAGAGCUCGGUGUAUACAAGGAAUGAAGUCCCAAAAUGAUUUAAGACGAAAAAAGUGACGAUGAUGAUUGAAAAUAAUAUUUUGUGUGUACCAAGAGGGGUUAUGGACUACUGCUAUGUCACAUGAUCAUGAUAAUAAAUAUGGAGUGUAUUAAAAAUGACUACUAUUUAAGUGAAUCGUGAUCAAGAAAUUAAUUAGGUGUGCAAUUGGUUAAAUGAAAAUUGUAGUGAAAUAAUAAUAAUAAGCACAAUUAGUGGAAGUGAUGAAGUGGCAUUAUUGUUUUUGCCACACGGCACCAUAGGGGCUAAGAAUGUAGUGACUAAGUACUAACUAAAAUUGGCAAGACAUUAUAAUAUUUGAAAGGUGGCAAGACAUUAUAAUAUUUGAAAGGUGGCAAAAGGGGAUGGAGGCCACGGCUAAAUGAAGAUUGAUAUGUACAAGGUAUUUUAUUCCUUUGAGAAAGGUCAGUUGGGUGGAGAAAAAUGUGCAAACACAUGUCUUUCAAAAAAAAAAAAACGGCAACACAAAACCGCACCUUCAUUCUAAAAAUAGAGCGACAAUUUUUUCUCCUUUUUGAGAGUAAUACCAGCGUUUUUCUACCUCAAGAAUGCCAAAAAAAAACGUGUAAUUCUCAUCAAGAACAACACGCGGGUUUCGCGCACCGCUUCGAUUUCGUUAUUCCGUUUUAUCGCCUUGUUGAAUCCGGGUUUUCUUCAAAGUGAAGUAAGGUGGAAAAAUAAUACUUCUUUGCAUAUAAGGCUAAAAGAGCGACGAGACGAACGGGUUACGAAUAGCCGCUAACAGGUACAGAUUACAGAUUUGCUGACCCGCAUGUCUAAGACACCUAUUCUGCUAUUCUGGAGCGCUCUUUUGUCCAGAGCCUAUACUUUGGUACAGUCUGCUGCUGUUAUAUUUAUGUACGCUAUUCAGGGGUACGACGGGGCCCUGUCCCGUCUUAUGAUUCUGUUAUGUUCUGUAGAGGUCUGUAGACAUACUGGUGUGGGUUCUGUAUAUGUUUUGGGUUGUUAUGAUCUGUGAUGGCCUUAUCGGCUUCCACUUACAAAAAUUGUUCAUCUGUGAUAUUCAGUAGCACCAACUAACUUUCAUAUUGAUAUUUUCUGCUAAUAUGCUGAUUU